rnacentral:rRNA from 1 species
AUUUAAGCAAACCUUAAGCUUUAUAUGACUAUACUUUCAUUUCCUUGUUUCAGCAAGGGCUUUUAAAAAGCCGCUAACUUACAAGGAUAGCUGUUUAAAGCAAACGAUCUUUGAAAACUAAGCAAAUUGAUAGAAGUUCUUUUUAAAGGGAUAUUCUAAAAUCAUAAGCAAUGACUUAC